AUGUUUCUCUGCAGAACGGCCUGGCAAAGAUGUGGGCAUUUGGCAAGGAAGUCAGCCUACCAGUUAUCUAGAGAUGUACUGCCACGGCGACAGAUGUCGUCGCUCCCCGGUGGUACUGGUGAUAACAUCAUCUAUGCCCUGCUGUGUGGUGGGGCCUUCGCUGGAGCUGUCGCCUAUACGUACAGCACUGUGACCACAGACCACGCCAGAUUCACCGACCGUGUAGCGGAUAUCAACGCUCGUCCUAAGACCGAGUGGGUUCCCAAACCAUGGCCCCCCAAGAGCAGGGAUGAGGAAGAGGAGGGUGAGGAAGCAGUAGCUGAUGGAGAGGAGGAAGCAGAGGAGGCGGCGCCUGGAGAGGAGCCUGCAGCUGAAGAGACUGUAGAGGCGGAAAACGUAGCAGAACUUGCUGAAGAGACCGAAGCAGUCUCUGAAGAACCUGCUGUGGAGGCAGCAGUAGAGGAAGUGGCUGUAGUAGAAGCAGAGACUGUGGUGGAGGAGGUCGCAGAGGCUGUCGCCGAGGCUGCUGAAGUCAUCGCCGAGGUUGCUGAAGAGGUCGUUGAGGUGGCCAAGGAAGUAGAGGCGGCAGCAGAGGAAGUGGUCAUAGUGGCCGAGGCCGUGGAGGAUGCUGCAGAGGCCAUUGCCGUGCCCGCCUUCCCCGAGGAAGCAGUUGCUGUGGUAGAGCCAGAGAGCAAUGUGGCACCAGUCGCUAUGGCUGCAGCCUCUGCUUUGGCGGUGACAACAGUCGCUGAAGUAGUUUUAGAAGUCAAGGAGGCUGCCCCUGUAGAGGCCCCAGCUGCAGAAGAAGCCGCUCCAGUCGAGGCCGCACCCAUAGAAGAGGCUCCAACUGCAGUCGAAGAAGCUCCAAUUGAGGCUGCCGCAGCAGAGAUUGUGGAGGCAGACGCUGCUCCUGUGGAGGCAGACGCUGCUCCUGUGGAGGCAGACGCUGCUCCUGUGGAGGCAGACGCUGCUCCUGUGGAGGCAGACGCUGCCCCUGUGGAGGCAGACGCGGCCCCUGUGGAGGCAGACGCGGCCCCUGUGGAGGCAGACGCGGCCCCUGUGGAGGCAGACGCGGCCCCUGUGGAGGCAGACGCGGCCCCUGUGGAGGCAGACGCUGCCCCUGUGGUGGAAGAGACGCCAGCUGCUAAGGAGUACAUGACCGGCAGGAUUAUCCCAGACGAAGACGAGGCCCCUGCUGCUGAGGUAACAGGGCAAGCGACGGCUGCUUAG
rnacentral:lncRNA from 13 species